rnacentral:lncRNA from 1 species
AAAACAGAAGCAAAAUUGGGGAUAAACGACGAUGCGACACGAAGAGGGAGAAACUGCUGCCGCCGUUCGUGCAUGUCGCGACCACUGGAAGGGAGCCUGGCCACCGUCGUGGUCACGGUGGGUUGAAGCCGUCGCCGUGCAUGCUGUUGCAAGUGGAGUAGAACACGAGGAAAAUGAGCGGCGAGGACCGAACGAUGAGGAGCAGCGAC